CACGGGCGCGGGGGAGCAGGUCUUUGGGGAACGCAGCUGCUGAUUGGCUCUUCGGGAGUCAGGGGCGGGAUCUCGCUUGAGGGAACUCGCCUGCUGAUUGGCUCUUGCCGUGGUCGCUGAGCGUUGAAUGAGAAGGCGCGAGCGAGCGGAGCUGCAAGCCACUGGCGCUAUGGACGCCGCCGUCAGGGCCCGGGAGCUUCUGGCUCAGCUGGAUGAGGUGCUGGCCUUUGAGGGGCAGACCCGAGAGGAGCUGGAGGCAGAGCUGCCAGCUAAAGUCCUGGUGGAGCAUGCAGUGGAUACGCGGAAGAAACAGAAGUGGAUUUGC